CAGCUUGACUGCGAGCGUGACGGCGCGAGCAGGUGCGAAAGCAGGUCAUAGUGAUCCGGUGGUUCUGAAUGGAAGGGCCAUCGCUCAACGGAUAAAAGGUACUCCGGGGAUAACAGGCUGAUACCGCCCAAGAGUUCAUAUCGACGGCGGUGUUUGGCACCUCGAUGUCGGCUCAUCACAUCCUGGGGCUGAAGUAGGUCCCAAGGGUAUGGCUGUUCGCCAUUUAAAGUGGUACGCGAGCUGGGUUUAGAACGUCGUGAGACAGUUCGGUCCCUAUCUGCCGUGGGCGCUGGAGAACUGAGGGGGGCUGCUCCUAGUACGAGAGGACCGGAGUGGACGCAUCACUGGUGUUCGGGUUGUCAUGCCAAUGGCACUGCCCGGUAGCUAAAUGCGGAAGAGAUAAGUGCUGAAAGCAUCUAAGCACGAAACUUGCCCCGAGAUGAGUUCUCCCUGACUCCUUGAGAGUCCUGAAGGAACGUUGAAGACGACGACGUUGAUAGGCCGGGUGUGUAAGCGCAGCGAUGCGUUGAGCUAACCGGUACUAAUGAACCGUGAGG
rnacentral:rRNA from 1 species